CUAGCAACCUAAAAUCCUCUCUCUUCAGCUUUUCCUCUCCAGAUUCAUUUCCCCCGACUAGGAAGAAGUCCAACCGGUCUACAUCCUCGCUCCGGCGGUUGACGAGUAGUGCAUGAACGAGAUGCCUGUAGGCCAGUUCUUACAAGAGUCAGUGGUGAAUUUGUUAGACGACAUACUACGAAACUACAUCGUCUCGGUGAUCACAAGGGUUCGCCCCAUGCUAGCUCUUGCGGGUCUUCCAGCCCGGCUGCUUGGUGGAGGUACUAUGCCCAGUAGGGGAACAAUCCAAGUUAUGAAAUUAAAGCCAUUGAUAGGCUUGUAGGUGACUAAACCUAUAUGCCUUAGUUUUAUUUUAAUGGUUCUAAAAAUAGUUUGAAUGGUCCUGCUGUCUUUGUGUUCUCGACCACCCCAUGAAGCUUCAAUAUUUAUGGAAGUUGUUUGUUAUGGUGUAUCUUAUUUUUAAUGGAUCUUUUCAAUCAAAUCGCCAUUUUUUGGAA